rnacentral:lncRNA from 1 species
UGGAGAGAUCACUCCCAUUGAGACUCCAUGACCAGCAGAUGUAUGAGCUGACCGAUGUCUCAGAUUACAUAUUAUAGCACUACUGAUAAGGUCUUGAACAGAGCCAUUAAAGAUGGGAACUGUAGGAUGGUCAGAAAAAGAAGUCUCAUGGUUUUUGCAGUGCUUUGCAAUAAAAAGGACCCAAUUCAGAGUGAUAGAAGGCCAGGUGUGUACUCUGUCCCUAUGUAUAAUAAUAAUGAGAAAUAUAGAGAGUAUCAUGUAGGAAGCACUAGAAAGUGUCUGAGUAAAAGACUAUAGGAGCAUAAAGCAGAUAUUCAAGCGGGGAGACUAACAACGGUGCUUGCGAUUAAAGCCUAUGAACAAGAUAUUAGUAUUGAAUGGGGUGAAGCAGGUCUAGUAUGAUACUUAUGGGAUACUAGAGGCCUUUCUAGCCUUGAAGCCAUAGUUAGAACAAAGAAAAUUUUGCCAAAUCAUGAUUGAUAAUAACAGCCCAAUGUCUCUACUCCCUCAUGGAGAUGGUGUGCAGUUAACUCAAUGUAAUCACGUGGAAUACUACUAUCAGAG